rnacentral:rRNA from 1 species
CAGUCGCCGCGGUAAUACAGAGGGUGCGAGCGUUAAUCGGAUUUACUGGGCGUAAAGCGUGCGUAGGCGGCUUUUUAAGUCGGAUGUGAAAUCCCUGAGCUUAACUUAGGAAUUGCAUUCGAUACUGGGAAGCUAGAGUAUGGGAGAGGAUGGUAGAAUUCCAGGUGUAGCGGUGAAAUGCGUAGAGAUCUGGAGGAAUACCGAUGGCGAAGGCAGCCAUCUGGCCUAAUACUGACGCUGAGGUACGAAAGCAUGGGGAGCAAACAGGAUUAGAUACCCGGGUAGUCUGUCUCUUAUACAA